rnacentral:rRNA from 1 species
UACGAAGGGUGCAAGCGUUACUCGGAAUUACUGGGCGUAAAGCGUGCGUAGGUGGUGAGUUAAGUCUGUCGUGAAAGCCCCGGGCUCAACCUGGGAAUGGCGAUGGAUACUGGCUCGCUAGAGUGCGGUAGAGGAGAGUGGAAUUCCCGGUGUAGCAGUGAAAUGCGUAGAGAUCGGGAGGAACAUCAGUUGCGAAGGCGGGUCUCUGGGCAGUAACUGACGCUGAGGAGCGAAAGCGUGGGGAGCGAACAGG